UCGAGAAUUAUAUUACAAAUAACCUAACCUCGAAACGCAUUCAUUUACUCCUGCGCACCAUCGACCAUCAGACGAUGGCGCUGUUUCUGCAAUUCUUGACAAGCACAUAUAUAUUUCUUCCGCGUCGUCACAAUUUCGAAAUUGUACGUUUUCUUUGUCGCUUGAAUCAACGUACGGCGCAAAUUGAGGAUGUUCGAGGAACUUUGAAAAAUAUCGCUUCAUAAUUAUAUCUUUGGAACGCAGCUUUCGAUUCUCGAACUCGCUUUGUAUAUCGAACGAUAUCAUUGGUGGAGUUCAGGUAAUGGCGGCGCUCGCUGCACGGGGCCCAUAGGCGCGUAAAUAUCAGCACGGAUGAGCGCCAACGAGCAAAGUAAAGAACUGGCUUUACUCUCUACUCAUCUCGAAACAGAAGAGAAAGAGGGAUAGAGAAGGAAACUAGUGACAAAGAACGAAAAAGAGGGGCUAGCAAAUAGAAAAAGAGAAAAUCGAGGGGCCGUCAUAAUUCCUUGAAUUGAACGGCGGGUUAUUCUCCACCAAGGUUACACCGACGUAGAGGUUGAACGAAGCAAGCGGGCCAAGCAAGCAGGCUAGCAACCUAGCAGGCAGACUAGCAUGCAAGCAAUUUUAUAUCAGCCUGUCCAGAGUUCUAUCUGGGAAAUUUAGAUUUCGUUGGAAUUUCAAAAAACCAUCCGAAUCGAUAAUUCACUGUUAGAGACGAAAGACUAAUUUUUUCAAAUGAUCGUACCUAAUUCACUCAUCGUUGCCAGGCACGAGAAAAAGUGGAUAUAUAGAGGCGCGAGAACAGCAUGCUUUCGACAAUCGUCAACGAGAUACGUCGGUCCACGCAAUGACGUCAGAGGCUGGUCCAAUCCUGUCGAAUACGUCCGUGGCCCGAUCUCACCCUAUUGAGCGAGAGAGAAAGGAAGAUGCGGUGUAUACGUAUAUAAGGUAAGCUAGACAAAGAUGGAAUAGCAGGUAUAUAGAUAUCGACAGGGAGGAAAGAGACAGAGAAAGAGAGUCGCAGAGGGACGCAAGAGCCAGCAAAUAAGAGCACAGUCCGACAAAUAGAAGGAGAAGACAGUUCGAGUUCCGCUCUCCUGCUCUUACGAGACGUUGUGCACGCUGAUUCAAGCCUUGCGAUAUUGUUGCCAGAAUUGUUCGUUAUAAUUUACAAUGUUCAGAAUAUUCCUGAUGUGAUCGUUGAGACAAAUCCUGAUUUUCUAUGACAUAUGACGCGUUCGAGCACAAAUACAUAUAAGUAUUUUUCAUACAUGACAAAUUAUUUUUCAUGCAAAAGAACGAAAGAGGUUAUGCGACAACGAUUGAGAGAAAAAAGUAUCAAAACACCUACAUAUUUUCUAUUCUAUUCAAAUGUCUAAACUAGAAGUUUAUUAAAUGUUAUAGCUUUAACAGACACGAUUAAUAACGUAAAAUAAUUUUAACUGUGUUUUAUAUUUUUACCGUUCACAAAUUACGAGAGAGAUUCAAUGCUAGCUUGAUGUUAGAGUUAGAAUUUAAAAUUUCCAGUAAAAAUCCCGUCUUUCGAACUUCAUUGCAUAUUUAUCGACUAGCAGUAAUAAAUGGACUUACAAAUUAGUUCUCUCUACAAAAUUGUUUAUUGCCACUGCGAACUAAAACGGUCAAUUACUAAAAGACAGAUACGUGCAUACUCAAACAGAAAACGAUACAAGUGUUUCAUUCGAAAAUUAAACGUGUGAAGUUAUUAGCAAUAAAUUAUGAUAGUAAAGUAAAAUUAUUAAUGCGCACCUCAUGUACACAUGAUAUUUCCAAAAGUUUUGUAUUAUUAUUGAAAUUAUUGAACUUAAUUGUCGAAAUUAAAAAUUUAGU